AUGGGCGCAGGUUCCUCGCAACUAUAUGACAUGUGUUCUCAGAUGUUCAUCUCCACCGAGUGUGGACUUAGUUCUAUUUCAGGGGAAGCUGGCUCCAGUCUCUCACUGUCGACGUUCCUGCCGCCUGAUAGGAAGAAGCAGAAAGGUAGGCCAACCAAAGCGAGGGAUAAACCUGGAUAUGAGGUCAAGGACACGCGAUCAAGGUUUUGUACGGUUUGUAGGGAGAAAGGGCACAAGAGCACGACAUGCCCCCGCAGGCUGACCUUCCGAAGAAACCUCAGAAAAUCCCUACAUGCGGCAAUUGCGGUGUAG
rnacentral:rRNA from 1 species